rnacentral:rRNA from 1 species
CCUACGGGAGGCAGCAGUGGGGGAUAUUGCACAAUGGGGGAAACCCUGAUGCAGCGACGCCGCGUGGGCGAAGAAGUAUUUCGGUAUGUAAAGCCCUAUCAGCAGGGGAGAAGAAAUGACGGUACCUGAGUAAGAAGCACCGGCUAAAUACGGGCCAGCAGCCGCGGUAAUACGUAUGGUGCAAGCGUUAUCCGGAUUUACUGGGUUGAAAGGGAGCGCAGGCGGCGCGGCAAGCCUGAUGUGAAAGCCCGCGGCCCAACCGCGGGACUGCAUUGGAAACUACCGGGCUGGAGUGCCGGAGAGGUGGGCGGAAUUCCUGGUGGAGCGGUGAAAUGCGUAGAUAUUAGGAGGAACACCAGUGGCGAAGGCAGCCUACUGGACGGUGACUGACGCUGAGGCUCGAAAGCGUGGGGAGCAAACAGGAUUAGAUACCCGGGUAGUC